AAGCUUUAUGUAGUGACAUAUGAACUAUGAAGAUAAGGAUGGCGACUGGAUGUUAGUUGGAGAGGUUCCUUGGAAAAUGCUUAAGGAAUCAUGCAAGCGUAUCAGGAAUACAAAGUUCAUGCAUUACGUCCGAUCAUAUCUAGUUAUGGGAACUGUCGAUCCAUUCCAGAAAGCAUGAGCUAGCUAGAGGAUGAUUGAUAUGAACCAAGUACGUACUAAAGGAUCCAGCUGAUCAUGAGGAUCAUAUAUCAGCGUGCUUGUAU